rnacentral:rRNA from 1 species
UACGUAGGGUGCAAGCGUUAAUCGGAAUUACUGGGCGUAAAGCGUGCGCAGGCGGUUUUGUAAGUCUGUCGUGAAAUCCCCGGGCUCAACCUGGGAAUUGCAUUCGAGACUGCAUUGCUGGAGUACGGAAGAGGAGGGCGGAAUUCCCGGUGUAGCGGUGAAAUGCGUAGAUAUCGGGAGGAACAUCAGUGGCGAAGGCGGCCCUCUGGUCCAGUACUGACACUCAAGUGCGAAAGCGUGGGGAGCAAACAGG